UUUCCUGAUCCUGAACGAUAGAGAGUACAGUAUAUACAGAGUAGUCUAGAGGAGAAGGCCUGACACUGACAGGGCCAAGACCAACAACAGUUACUAGUGAGACAGCUAUUUGGUCACCCUUUGAGUAAAAUCUGAUCCGGCAAAAUCUUUUUCUUUUCCAAACCACGUAGCUGGUUGUCGCCUACAGUAGGGGCUAUGUAGUGCAAGAGUCAGUGUGUAUCGUAUCAGGUAGUUUUGGAUCCGUCCACCAAAUCGAACACGUUCUAGUCGAUUGACUCAUAGGCAGCCUUGCUGAGAGCUAGAACUAGAGCCACUUCAGGCUACGAAGUAUUGGUGGUGAAGUGGAAAAGUCAGAAUGCUAAGUGUGACUAGUGGCCAGCAACGAUGGCGUUUCGACACGUCGGCAAUUUUUCUGAUUCAGCUGCUGUUGUUCGUGUUAUAUGCUGGGACGUGUACGGCCACGAAUGUGAACACGUGGGUGGAUUGUGGCAAUGAAGGUGAAGUGUUUGUUACAAAUACCGCCAAAGUCUGGGUUGCAGGUGAAGAGUUCUGUCAGACACUCGGCGGCCACCUGGUCAGUUCUCCUCAAGUUACAGCCUGCAAAGCUAAGCUAGUGGGAAUACUUGGAAAGGUGUCAGUCCAUAUGAGCUACACAAGAUUGCUUGAUAAACUUCACUUCCGUGAUGUUGGGAACAACUUGAAAGUUUCUGACAAUGCCGUUUCUAUCCAUCAAAGCUUGGAUGAUUGUUCUGGUCAAUAUCUUCCGGGAAAUUCACAGCCAUCUGAUCAGCAUUGCUUGACACCGUCUACUAUCGUUUGUGGGAGGAAUACCAGCCGGCUGUUUGCUUGCAGUCCCUCUUUCCCAUCUGUACGUCUACCCGAACUACUCGCGGCUCAACAACUCAUAACAUGAGUAUCAAUCGCUAUAGAUCUAUGUCUGGCUUUCUGUCCUUUUCAAGUAAAUCGGCUCUUGUUUGGAAUUAUUUACCAGACGACCUGAAGUCCUGCACUACUAUCGCAGAUUUCCGCGUCAAAUUGCCUAUUUGGCUAAAAGACAGCUUAACUCUUAAAAUCAUUGUUGUGAUUUGCUUUCAAGCAAUGUGCAUAAUCAGUAAAUUGGUUGCUGUUUUUGUUUUUUGGUUUUUUGGUUUCCCGUUCUCGGGGCCUUCUAUUCGGCA